UAGAGCAAAUCCCCAAAAACCGGUACUCAGUUCAGAUUGCAGGCUGCAACUCGCCUGCAUGAAGUUGGAAUUGCUAGUAAUCGCGAAUCAGAAUGUCGCGGUGAAUACGUUCCCGGGCCUUGUACACACCGCCCGUCACACCAUGAGAGUCGAUAACACCCGAAGCCUGUGAGCUAACCGCAAGGAGGCAGCAGUCGAAGGUGGGGUUGAUGAUUGGGGUGAAGUCGUAACAAGGUAGC
rnacentral:rRNA from 1 species